AACGAACGCUGGCGGUAGGCCUAACACAUGCAAGUCGAGCGCGCCCUUCGGGGUGAGCGGCGGACGGGUGAGUAACGCGUGGGAACGUGCCCUUUUCUACGGAAUAGCCUCGGGAAACUGAGAGUAAUACCGUAUACGCCCUUUGGGGGAAAGAUUUAUCGGAAAAGGAUCGGCCCGCGUUGGAUUAGGUAGUUGGUGGGGUAAUGGCCUACCAAGCCGACGAUCCAUAGCUGGUUUGAGAGGAUGAUCAGCCACACUGGGACUGAGACACGGCCCAGACUCCUACGGGAGGCAGCAGUGGGGAAUCUUAGACAAUGGGGGCAACCCUGAUCGAGCCAUGCCGCGUGAGUGAUGAAGGCCUUAGGGUUGUAAAGCUCUUUCAGCUGGGAAGAUAAUGACGGUACCAGCAGAAGAAGCCCCGGCUAACUCCGUG
rnacentral:rRNA from 1 species